UACGAAGGGUGCUAGCGUUGUUCGGAAUCACUGGGCGUAAAGCGCGCGUAGGCGGCUUAGCAAGUCAGGGGUGAAAGCCCACAGCUCAACUGUGGAAUUGCCUUUGAAACUGCUAAGCUUGAGUGUCGGAGGGGAUAGCGGAAUUGCUAAUGUAGAGGUGAAAUUCGUAGAUAUUAGCAGGAACACCGGUGGCGAAGGCGGCUAUCUGGACGACAACUGACGCUGAGGCGCGAAAGCGCGGGGAUCAAACAGG
rnacentral:rRNA from 1 species